GAUAAACGCUGGCGGCGUGCCUAAUACAUGCAAGUCGAGCGAACGGACGAGAAGCUUGCUUCUCUGAUGUUAGCGGCGGACGGGUGAGUAACACGUGGAUAACCUACCUAUAAGACUGGGAUAACUUCGGGAAACCGGAGCUAAUACCGGAUAAUAUUUUGAACCGCAUGGUUCAAAAGUGAAAGACGGUCUUGCUGUCACUUAUAGAUGGAUCCGCGCUGCAUUAGCUAGUUGGUAAGGUAACGGCUUACCAAGGCAACGAUGCAUAGCCGACCUGAGAGGGUGAUCGGCCACACUGGAACUGAGACACGGUCCAGACUCCUACGGGAGGCAGCAGUAGGGAAUCUUCCGCAAUGGGCGAAAGCCUGACGGAGCAACGCCGCGUGAGUGAUGAAGGUCUUCGGAUCGUAAAACUCUGUUAUUAGGGAAGAACAUAUGUGUAAGUAACUGUGCACAUCUUGACGGUACCUAAUCAGAAAGCCACGGCUAACUACGUGCCAGCAGCCGCGGUAAUACGUAGGUGGCAAGCGUUAUCCGGAAUUAUUGGGCGUAAAGCGCGCGUAGGCGGUUUUUUAAGUCUGAUGUGAAAGCCCACGGCUCAACCGCGGAGGGUCAUUGGAAACUGGAAAACUUGAGUGCAGAAGAGGAAAGUGGAAUUCCAUGUGUAGCGGUGAAAUGCGCAGAGAUAUGGAGGAACCCCAGUGGCGAAGGCGACUUUCUGGUCUGUAACUGACGCUGAUGUGCGAAAGCGUGGGGAUCAAACAGGAUUAGAUACCCUGGUAGUCCACGCCGUAAACGAUGAGUGCUAAGUGUUAGGGGGUUUCCGCCCCUUAGUGCUGCAGCUAACGCAUUAAGCACUCCGCCUGGGGAGUACGACCGCAAGGUUGAAACUCAAAGGAAUUGACGGGGACCCGCACAAGCGGUGGAGCAUGUGGUUUAAUUCGAAGCAACGCGAAGAACCUUACCAAAUCUUGACAUCCUUUGACAACUCUAGAGAUAGAGCCUUCCCCUUCGGGGGACAAAGUGACAGGUGGUGCAUGGUUGUCGUCAGCUCGUGUCGUGAGAUGUUGGGUUAAGUCCCGCAACGAGCGCAACCCUUAAGCUUAGUUGCCAUCAUUAAGUUGGGCACUCUAAGUUGACUGCCGGUGACAAACCGGGGGAAGGUGGGGAUGACGUCAAAUCAUCAUGCCCCUUAUGAUUUGGGCUACACACGUGCUACAAUGGACAAUACAAAGGGCAGCGAAACCGCGAGGUCAAGCAAAUCCCAUAAAGUUGUUCUCAGUUCGGAUUGUAGUCUGCAACUCGACUACAUGGAGCUGGAAUCGCUAGUAAUCGUAGAUCAGCAUGCUACGGUGAAUACGUUCCCGGGUCU
rnacentral:rRNA from 1 species